CAAUUGCUUUUUGUAGUUUUUUGUAUAUAGAACUGUAAGAAGCAGGCAUGUGCGGAUUUGGGGAGACUGAGCUUCGAAAGAGACUUGAGAGAUGGUGAAAAUAAACAUAAAUUUUGAAGAUACAACGAUCAAUUAGCUCAGAUGGCGGAAAAUCUUCUCGAUGCUAAGAAGAAAAAUUUAGUGAACGAGACAGAAAGUUCGUCCAAAAGAUGCCAGAAUUUUGGAACACAUGGCAUCGAUGACUUGGUGUCGUUGGAAACCUACAAAGCAAAAUGGAAGGCAAUAUACAUUAUUUAUUUGGUUUCCUUUUCCAGUUCAAUAGAGUACACAAGCACAAUGCCGUCACUUUGGCCAUACCUACAAAAGGUGCGGUUUUCUCGUUUUCUGAUACCAGUAUUUUGUUAUAAUUUCUUCACUGCCAAAGAGCCUUGUUAUUGUCUUUGCUUAAAUUUCUUGUCUUUAGUAUCAUUACCCAUCAUUGAUCCAUUUCAUUUGAUUUUUUAACUUAAUGUAAGUUUCACACUAUAUCCAUUCCGUAAAAAUAAAAGUUAUGAUAUACUUACUUAAAGAAAAACUACAUUGCAAUAAAAAUUUGCUAAAUUAACUUAGAUAUUAAAAAUUUGAAUCCCAAACUUCCAUGGAUUCGUGUCGAGCUGUCUUCUGUUAUCUCAAAAGGUGAAAUAUCAUAUGAUAUGAGAAGUCAUGGGCUAGUAGUCAUGGAUCAGGUUUCUAUGGUAAUGCACAUGUAACUGGCCUUUCAUAAGAAUUAUUCUUUCAGAUACACACAUUUUUGAAAAUAACUGUUUACCAAUCUGUCAUAAAGUACUCGACGCUUUAUAGGUAGUGCUG